GACGAACGCUGGCGGCGUGCUUAACACAUGCAAGUCGAACGGAAAGGCCCUGCUUUUGUGGGGUGCUCGAGUGGCGAACGGGUGAGUAACACGUGAGUAACCUGCCCUUGACUUUGGGAUAACUUCAGGAAACUGGGGCUAAUACCGGAUAGGAGCUCCUGCUGCAUGGUGGGGGUUGGAAAGUUUCGGCGGUUGGGGAUGGACUCGCGGCUUAUCAGCUUGUUGGUGGGGUAGUGGCUUACCAAGGCUUUGACGGGUAGCCGGCCUGAGAGGGUGACCGGCCACAUUGGGACUGAGUUACGGCCCAGACUCCUACGGGAGGCAGCAGUGGGGAAUAUUGCACAAUGGGCGGAAGCCUGAUGCAGCAACGCCGCGUGCGGGAUGACGGCCUUCGGGUUGUAAACCGCAUUCGCCUGUGACGAAGCGUGAGUGACGGUAAUGGGUAAAGAAGCACCGGCUAACUACGUG
rnacentral:rRNA from 1 species